GGGCUUGCCAAUGUUCCUGCAUGGCUAAGUGCCUGGGUUCGUCCUAAUCGAGCUGAACACUAGUCACUGGGUUCCAUGGUUCUCUUCCAUGACCCACAACUUCUAAUAGAGCUAUAACAAGCACUGCAUGGCCCAAGAUUCCAUUCCUUGGAAUCCGUGAGGCCAAGAACCCCAGGUCAGAGAACACGAGGCUUGCCACCAUCUUGGAAGUGGCCCACCGCCAUUUUGGAAGUGGCCAACCACCAUCUUGGGAGCUCUGGGAGCAAGGACCCCUGGUAACAUUUUGGCGACCACGAAGGGACAUCCCAAGUGAUCCAUGCAAGGCUGGACUUAAAUGCUUCUGGGCAGAAAUCCGGAACAAUAAGGAGGCUCAUAUUGUCAACUUUUCUACUCUCAUCGUUCCUGUUACACAAUGUCUGAAAGAAAACAUUUCAAACAUUACAUCAAGUUCUUCAUUUGUUUCUUCUAUAAGCUGAGACCAUCCUUGAAAUAGACUCACUUUGGUGUAAUCAAGCGUGGCUCUCAUGAUGACCUUAGUGUUCUCAUAAUUAGAGAUACUGAAGACCUUACCUUCUCUGCCAUGUGAGGAUACAGGAUGAAGGUGUCACCUGCAAGCCAGGAAGAAAGUCCUCAUGAAGACCUGACCAUAUGGCAUCCUGAUGUUGGGCUUCUGGCCUCCAAAAUCAUGAUAAAUAAAUUUCUG
rnacentral:lncRNA from 1 species